GAUUAACGCUGGCGGCGUGCCUAACACAUGCAAGUCGAACGAAGUGGCGGAAGGGUGCGUAACGCGUGAGUAACCUGCCUUAGAGAAGGGGAUAGCCUGUGGAAACGAAGAAUAAUACCCUAUGCUCUACGGUGGGCUUGCGUCUGAUUAGUUAGUUGGUGCGGUAACGGCUCACCAAGACAGCGAUCAGUAGCCGGCGUGAGAGAGUGUCCGGCCACAUUGGGACUGAGACACGGCCGAGACUCUACGGGAGGCAGCAGUGGGGAAUGUUGCACAAUGGGGGAAACCCUGAGGCAGCGAGGCCGCGUGAUUUAGAAGGCCUUCGGGUUGUAAAAAUCUUUUCUAUGGGAAGCAGUACCAGAGGAAUAAGGACCGGCUAAUUACGUGCCAGCAGCCGCGGUAAUAC
rnacentral:rRNA from 1 species